AUUGAACGCUGGCGGAAUGCUUUACACAUGCAAGUCGAAUGGCAGCACGGACUUCGGUCUGGUGGCGAGUGGCGAACGGGUGAGUAAUGUAUCGGAACGUGCCCAGUCGUGGGGGAUAACGUAGUGAAAAUUACGCUAAUACCGCAUACGAUCUAUGGAUGAAAGCGGGGGAUCGCAAGACCUCGCGCGAUUGGAGCGGCCGAUAUCAGAUUAGGUAGUUGGUGGGGUAAAGGCCCACCAAGCCAACGAACUGUAGCUGGUCUGAGAGGACGACCAGCCGCACUGGAACUGAGACACGGUCAAGACUCCUACGGGAGGCAGCAGUGGGGAAUUUUGGACAAUGGGCGAAAGCCUGAUCCAGCCAUUCCGCGUGCAGGAUGAAGGCCCUCGGGUUGUAAACUGCUUUUGUACAGAACGAAAAGGUUUCUACUAAUACUAGGAGCUCAUGACGGUACUGUAAGAAUAAGCACCGGCUAACUACGUGCCAGCCGCCGCCGUAA
rnacentral:rRNA from 1 species